CAGAUCAAUCAAAAAGUAACACAAGAAAUGUACAUGACAAUAACAAGGCUCUAUACAGGGGGUACCGGUACAGAGUCAAUGUGGAGGCUCUAUACAGGGGGUACCGGUACCGAGGAAAUGUGGAGGCUAUGUACAGGGGGUACCGGUACCGAGGAAAUGUGGAGGCUAUAUACAGGGGGUACCGGUACCGAGGAAAUGUGGAGGCUAUAUACAGGGGGUACCGGUACCGAGGAAAUGUGGAGGCUAUAUACAGGGGGUACCGGUACCGAGGAAAUGUGGAGGCUAUGUACAGGGGGUACCGGUACCGAGGAAAUGUGGAGGCUAUAUACAGGGGGUACCGGUACCGAGGAAAUGUGGAGGCUAUGUACAGGUGGUACCGGUACCGAGGAAAUGUGGAGGCUCUAUACAGGGGGUACCGGUACCGAGGAAAUGUGGAGGCUAUGUACAGGAGGUACCGGUACAGUCAAUGUGGAGGCUAUGUACAGGUGGUACCGGUACUGAGGAAAUGUGGAAGCUAUGUACAGGUGGUACCGGUACCGAGGAAAUGUGGAGGCUAUGUACAGGAGGUACCGGUACAGAGUCAAUGUGGAGGCUAUGUGGCCAGUGAUGUACUGGGCUGUACACACUACCCUCUGUAGCGCCUUACGGUCAGAUGCCGAGCAUUUGC
ensembl:lncRNA